GGGGCAGCAUGACUGUAGCAAUACAGUUGAUGGCGACCGGCAAACGGGUGCGGAACACGUACACAACCUUCCUUUUAGUGGAGAAUAGCCCAGGGAAACUUGGAUUAAUACUCCGUAACAUAUAGAAGUGGCAUCACUUUUAUAUUAAAGCAGCAAUGCGCUAGAAGAUGGGUGUGCGGCUGAUUAGAUAGUUGGCGGGGUAACGGCCCACCAAGUCGACGAUCAGUAACUGGUGUGAGAGCACGACCAGUCACACGGGCACUGAGACACGGCCCGACUCCUACGGGAGGCAGCAGUAAGGAAUAUUGGUCAAUGGACGCAAGUCUGAACCAGCCAUGCCGCGUGGAGGAUGAAGGUCCUCUGGAUUGUAAACUUCUUUUAUCUGGGAAGAAAUCCAUUUUUUCUAAAAUGGUUGACGGUACCAGAUGAAUAAGCACCGGCUAACUCCGUGCCAGCAGCCGCGGUAAUACGGAGGGUGCAAGCGUUAUCCGGAUUCACUGGGUUUAAAGGGUGCGUAGGUGGGCGAGUAAGCCAGUGGUGAAAUCUCCGGGCUUAACCCGGAAACUGCCAUUGAUACUAUUUGUCUUGAAUACUGUGGAGGUCAGCGGAAUAUGUCAUGUAGCGGUGAAAUGCUUAGAUAUGACAUAGAACACCAAUUGCGAAGGCAGCUGGCUACACAAAUAUUGACACUGAGGCACGAAAGCGUGGGGAUCAAACAGGAUUAGAUACCCUGGUAGUCCACGCCCUAAACUAUGGAUACUCGACAUUUGCGAUAAACUGCAAGUGUCUGAGC
rnacentral:rRNA from 1 species